AGUGAACGCUGGCGGUAGGCCUAACACAUGCAAGUCGAACGGCAGCACAGUAAGAGCUUGCUCUUACGGGUGGCGAGUGGCGGACGGGUGAGGAAUACAUCGGAAUCUACUUUUUCGUGGGGGAUAACGUAGGGAAACUUACGCUAAUACCGCAUACGACCUACGGGUGAAAGCAGGGGAUCUUCGGACCUUGCGCGAUUGAAUGAGCCGAUGUCGGAUUAGCUAGUUGGCGGGGUAAAGGCCCACCAAGGCGACGAUCCGUAGCUGGUCUGAGAGGAUGAUCAGCCACACUGGAACUGAGACACGGUCCAGACUCCUACGGGAGGCAGCAGUGGGGAAUAUUGCGCAAUGGGCGAAAGCCUGAUCCAGCCAUACCGCGUGAGUGAAGAAGGCCUUCGGGUUGUAAAGCCCUUUUGUUGGGAAAGAACAGCAGCAGGUUAAUCCCCCGCUGUUCUGACGGUACCCAAAGAGUAAGCCCCGGCUAACUUCGUG
rnacentral:rRNA from 1 species